rnacentral:rRNA from 1 species
UGGGGAAUAUUGCACAAUGGGCGCAAGCCUGAUGCAGCCAUGCCGCGUGUGUGAAGAAGGCCUUCGGGUUGUAAAGCACUUUCAGCGAGGAGGAAGGUGGUGAGCUUAAUACGCUCAUCAAUUGACGUUACUCGCAGAAGAAGCACCGGCUAACUCCGUGCCAGCAGCCGCGGUAAUACGGAGGGUGCAAGCGUUAAUCGGAAUUACUGGGCGUAAAGCGCACGCAGGCGGUUUGUUAAGUCAGAUGUGAAAUCCCCGGGCUCAACCUGGGAACUGCAUUUGAAACUGGCAAGCUAGAGUCUCGUAGAGGGGGGUAGAAUUCCAGGUGUAGCGGUGAAAUGCGUAGAGAUCUGGAGGAAUACCGUGGCGAAGGCGGCCCCCUGGACGAAGACUGACGCUCAGGUGCG